GACGAACGCUGGCGGCGUGCUUAACACAUGCAAGUCGAACGAUGAAGAAAAGAAUUGAAGCUUCGGCAGAAAUUCAUUUCGGAUUAGUGGCAGACGGGUGAGUAACGCGUGAGCAACCUACCUCUUACAAAGGGAUAGCCUCGGGAAACCGGGAUUAAUACCAUAUAACAUUGCGACGAAGCAUUUCGAUGCAAUCAAAGCUACGGCGGUAAGAGAUGGGCUCGCGUCCCAUUAACCAGAUGGUGAGGUAACGGCUCACCAUAGUAACGAUGGGUAACCGGCCUGAAAGGGUGAACGGUCACACUGGAACUGAGACACGGUCCAGACUCCUACGGGAGGCAGCAGUGGGGAAUAUUGCACAAUGGAGGGAACUCUGAUGCAGCGACGCCGCGUGAGUGAUGAAGGAAUUCGUUUCGUAAAACUCUGUUCUAUGGGAAGAAAAGGACUGUACCAUAGGAGAAAGCUCCGGCUAAAUACGUG
rnacentral:rRNA from 1 species